CUGCCCAAGAAGGACUUGAUCAAGUUUCUGCAGGAUCGUGGUUGAGAUUCGUUCUUGCAGAGCAUAAAUGAUUGGGAAACAUUAGAAGUUUAGCUAAGACUGCUAAUAGGGACCAUUCAGUUACAGCCUUUAGCCAUCUUUUUGAAAGUUACCAUUUCAAGGAUGCUGAAACUGUAAGUAUAGAGUCUGAGCCAGUGAAGCAUGUGAAGCGAUGAUGAUAAACCCAAAGAAACCAAGUCUGAAGAGACUCUUGAUGAGGGUCCACGGAAAUAUAGAAAAUCGGUUCUAAAAAGGGAGCUAAACCAACACUCCCAAAAAGGACGAUGUUGUUCACGGCUGGUAUACAGGGACACUCCCAGAUGGGACUGGUUUUGAUACUAAUAUUCACUCAAGCUCAAAGAAGAGAAACGCCAAGCCUUUAAGUUCCAAGGUCACAAUAGGGAGGUUGUCAGAGGAGGGGAUGAGGCGCUCCUGACCAUGAGCAAAGGAGAAUGGGCUCAAGUGGAGACUGAACCAGAAUGGGCUUAUGGAAAGCAAGCACAGCCUGAUGUCAGAAUUCCACCAAAUGCCAAACUCAUUUCUGAAGUAGAAUUAGUAGGUAUU
rnacentral:lncRNA from 1 species